UACGUAGGGCGCAAGCGUUGUCCGGAAUUAUUGGGCGUAAAGAGCUCGUAGGCGGUUUGUCGCGUCUGCUGUGAAAACCUGAGGCUCAACCUCGGGCUUGCAGUGGGUACGGGCAGACUAGAGUGCGGUAGGGGUGACUGGAAUUCCUGGUGUAGCGGUGGAAUGCGCAGAUAUCAGGAGGAACACCCGGUGGGCGAAGGCGGGGUCUCUGGGCCGAUACUGACGC
rnacentral:rRNA from 1 species